GUGAUUUUUUUUUUAAACGGCCGCAGUACCUUGACUGUGCUAAGGUAGCAUAAUAAUUUGGCUUUUAAUUAAGGUCUAGUAUGAAAGGGAACCAGGAAAAUUGUCUUUUAUGUACUACAUAAAUUUACUUAUUAGGUGAAAAUUCCUAAUGUAAUAUUAGACGAGAAGACCCUUAGAAUUUUUAAUAUUUUUGUUGGGGCGACAAUAUUACAAAAAAAUAACUUAAUAUAAAUACAAACCGAAAAUGAAUAAAUUACCUAAGGGAUAACAGCAUAAUAAAAAGAUUAUGACCUCGAUGUUGGAUUAGAUAUUAAUGGUUAGCGAUCAUUAA
rnacentral:rRNA from 1 species